rnacentral:rRNA from 1 species
UACAGGGGGGGCAAGCGUUGUUCGGAAUUACUGGGCGUAAAGGGUGUGUAGGUGGCGCCGUAAGUCGGGUGUGAAAUUUCGGAGCUUAACUCCGAAACUGCAUUCGAUACUGCGGUGCUUGAGGACUGGAGAGGAGACUGGAAUUCAUGGUGUAGCAGUGAAAUGCGUAGAGAUCAUGAGGAAGACCAGUGGCGAAGGCGGGUCUCUGGACAGUUCCUGACACUGAGACACGAAGGCCAGGGGAGCAAACGGG